rfam:Triticum aestivum genome assembly, contig: Triticum_aestivum_CS42_TGACv1_scaffold_020788_1AS
AGAUGCGAUCAUAGCAGCACUAAAGCACCGGAUCACAUCAGAACUCCGAAGUUAAGUGUGCUUGGGUGAGAGUAGUACUAGGAUAGGUGACCUCCAAGGAAGUCCUCGUGUGUCAUUUC